rnacentral:rRNA from 1 species
CGGAAGUAGUGAUAUGGAGCAAAACCCUAAAAGUAAGUCUCAGUUCGGAUUGAAGGCUGAAAUUCGCCUUCAUGAAGCUGGAAUUGCUAGUAAUGGCAGGUCAGCAUACUGCCGUGAAUACGUUCCCGGGCCUUGUACACACCGCCCGUCACACCAUGAGAGUUGGGAAUACCCGAAGCCUGUGAGCUAACUGUAAAGAGGCAGCAGUCGAAGGUAGAAUCAAUGAUUGGGGUGAAGUCGUAACAAGGUAUC